rnacentral:rRNA from 1 species
UACGGAGGAUCCAAGCGUUAUCCGGAUUUAUUAGGUUUAAAGGGUGCGUAGGCGGGCCUAUAAGUCAGUGGUGAAAUCCUUCAGCUUAACUGAAGAACUGCCAUUGAUACUGUUGGUCUUGAGUGCGGUUGAGGUAAGCGGAAUAUGUAAUGUAGCGGUGAAAUGCAUAGAUAUUACAUAGAACACCGAUUGCGAAGGCAGCUUACUAAGCCGCAACUGACGCUGAUGCACGAAAGCGUGGGGAGCGAACAGG